AACUUUGACCUCACGUGUUUGUGUCUCUUCAGCUCUGUGUCCUCUCACAGGAAGAUGAUGAUGUGCAGGAUCCUGCUACUCCUCAUGCUGACCUGCUGUGUCUGUGGUUAGUGUGUGUGAGAGAGAGAGAGAGAGAGAGAGAGAGACGUUAGGGGGCGAAGCGUCGAAACCGAAAGUAAACUGUGGGGAUUUCCCGGUUAUUUGCUACGUGCCAAAAAAUGACCUCCGUGAAUUUUUGUCAACAAGAGCAACAAGGAGACUGAAGUGUUGGAGGUGGGUUGAAGAAGAAUUAAGUAGUUGGAGUUUGUAGUCUGACGGUUCUAUCAGGCAAAGGAGAACCAGAACAUCACGCUGGAGUGGACCUUCCCAAGAUGACCCCUCACUUCACUCUCUUCAUAUCUACUGUUUGAUGGUCACUGAUCACAAAGUCUGUGUCCUGUUUGAACUCAUCCGAGGAGUCGAGGUUUCAGAGUCUCAGGAUGAACAGUUUGCAGGACGAGUCCACUGUGACAAAGACGUCCUCAAAGAAGGACGACUCAGACUUCACAUGUCCUCGUUAAGGACUGAAGACUCAGGCCUAUGCAAGUGUGAAGUGAUGACAAACGAUGGUAUGGUCGCUGGUAGAAGCCGUCUUAAUGUGACCGCAGCUGCUCAUGAGCACCAAACUCAGAGACCCAACAGUGAGACCAGGAGCAGAGAGUCUAGGAAGACCUGGUCUCUACAUUGGACUGGGACUGUUACUGUUCCUGCUAGUGUCUUUAAAAAAUGUCUCUUUAAAUCUGCUGAUGAGAGAGAAAACGUCUCUGCAGUCAUGUAUGUUGAAGAAAUUACUAAGACUUGACUCCAUACAAUAAGACUCAGUUGACUCAGAUGGCUUACGUUGAUGAAAGUUUAUUCAUCAGAUGAAUACUCGAGGAGACAUGAUUCAACAUCACACUUCUGUACUCGUGUCUUGCUCAAUCACAUCUGCCGAACUCUUCGAAAGGCAUCACAUAUAUCCUAAAAGACAUAACCAUUAUCAGGGUCGUGUCACAUUGACCCACCUGGACUAAACUGUGAUGUCUAUAACACUGGAGCAGACAACAAGUCUACCAAACAUCCUUGCAGAUAUCAGGAAGAACAGUUGACACUCUCUAAGCUGUACUUGGUGUUCUAAUAACAACUGAACUCUAUCAGGUCUGACUGACAUUAGAGAACAGUGAAUAAACCUAAUGACGUCUGUACAUUAUAAUCUAAAUAACUACAGAAAUUCCACCACAAUGUAGACUCUGUAUUUGUCAGAGAAACAAUCAACCAUCCAUCCAUUACCUGUACCACUUGAUGGUUCUGGGUCAGAUUGGUUGGAGCCAAUUGGGCGAGAGUCGGGGUUACACCCUGGUGUUCACAGGUGUUGGAGCCAAAAUGCUUGUUUUUAUUGAUAAUUUCAAGAGUGUUCUAGCUUUCCCUCUGAUAACUUCCUUGCUGUGAGGAAGUAAUGCUAACCCCCUCACCACUGUGCAGCCGUACAAUCAUCCAGUCGACUUUUAUGAGUAAAGCUCCAAAUAAUUUCAAACGUUACUUCAAGAUGGUUCACAAAAGAGACCCAUCAGGACUACAAGGACCCCUUUCCGUCUGAAUGUGUUGUUCCAGAACCUUUGUUUAGAAUAUCAUGUUAUUGAAAUGUUGCUCAUGUGGUUCAUAUGUUACAUGUAUUCAUCCCCACAGAAGGAUCUAAUGUGGAUUUAACUGAAGCUUCUAUUGUGUUCUGAUGGAUGUUGUUACAAACCUCUGACCUUCAAUAAUCCAUCUUUAUUUAUAAUGUUUAGAGUCUAAAUAAAUCCUCAUGAUCA